AUUUGAUUGCAUCUGUAACAUGACUACACAUGGAAAAGACUGUCAACUACAUACGAGAGUAAGAGGAGGAAAAGGACUUUGACAAAAAGUAUAGCCCCACCUGGCAAUGCAUCGUGGGAAGGAACUUUGGCAGCUACGUGACUCACGAGUCCGGACAUUUCAUCUACUUCUACCUGGGUCAGGUGGCCAUCCUGCUCUACAAAUCCUGCAGUGAAAAACAAAAGUCAAGUGAUUUGACACAACUGCGCAUACCCGGUGCUCGAUGAAGGAGCUAUGAAAUAAUACAGAGCAGGUGAAACGCUGUCACUCAAAAGCUAUGACUCUUAUUUGAAAGUUUUGACUUUUUAGGUCAAUUUGUUGUUUCUUUUACAAACGAAUGUCCAUUGGAAUGAUUCGUUUGAAAUAUGAUUUUCUUUUUGGUCACAAAACAUGAAAUGUAUCUUGUCAUACAUUUUUUUUUCUGUAAAAUUUAACUUCAGAGUUGAAGGUGCAGAUGCCCUGAGACAGCAGUGCAUUUAAAGCAGAUUAUUAGAAGUGAUCAGUCUUAUACUGAUCUGCGUGUGAGAUCCUGACAUUUACCUGGUUUUGAUGUAAUCAUAAAAAUAUGUAGUCCUACUUGUUUUAGUUUAAGUUUUAGUUUUUUUUUAGUUUCAGUUUAAGACCUUGUCUUGUGUCCAUACACAAAAAAUGAGAUCCUGAUUUUACAUAUUCUCACAAAUAUGUCAAAAUGCA